rnacentral:lncRNA from 1 species
AGCAUCUCUCGUGCGAUGUGUCCUUUCCGUGUCGAGUCAUCCAGGAACAUCAGUUGUGACGCGCGUGUCGAGGCUCAUGUUGAUGACGUACGUGGUGACGGUCGAAGCCUCGCAAGGCGGCCGGACCACGUGACUGAUUCAGGAAACAGGCUCGUUCGAGGUGUGUGUGUGUGUGUGUGUGUGUGUGUGUGUGUAUGUGUGUGUGUGUGUGUGUGUGUGUGUUUGUGUGUGUGUGUGUGUGUGAUCUCGCAGUCCGUGCAGCUACUUUGGAGAGGACGUGUCGGUGGAGAAGCUGAAGAUGUACCACCCCGACUUCAUCCGUUACCUCAGGAACAGAUUCCUUCGCUCCAAGGUCCUGAAGACCAAAUACAAGGCCGGUUACCGCCCGUCGACCGGCGCCGUGAUGCUGCUGGCCGCGCUGCACACCUGCGACCAGGUGAGCGCGUACGGCUUCAUGACCCCCGACUACAGGAAGUACUCCGACCACUACUACGACCGCAGCUACCGGCCCGUGGGCUUCUUCGUGAACCACGACCUGCACCUGGAGACGAGCCUGUGGCAGCAGCUGCACCGGGCCGGCCUCAUCCGGCUCUACAUGCGCCAGUGACGUCGGGUUCCUCCCGUCGGCAGACAGGAAGUCCCGUUUCUCUCUCAAGACGUCGUUCGGGACUCAAGAACAAAAGAAAGUAGCAGAAGUUUUGUUUUUGUGAAGGAAAACAAAAGAGUAUUUUUGUAUUGACGGCUGCGGUUAUUGUUCAUUAUAUAGAUUUACUUUUCUUUUUCGAGAUUUUGUAAUUCGACAACUAUUGAAUGGAUAACUUUUAAUUCUGCCUCAUUUGAAUGAUGUCAAAUAGUUAAUGACCAUAAAACUACAAAGGGAACGACGUUCCGCUACUUGGUUCAAAGAUGCUAAUAAACAAAAGUAAACGUUUCUCCUGCUGAGCAUCUGUUUCUAACUGUAUCCAUGCCAGUUCCUCUCUCCCUCGUCUCCUAGUUCCUCUCUCCCUCGUCUCCUAGUACCUCCCUUGUCUCCUAGUUCCUCUCUCCCUCGUCUCCUAGUACCUCCCUUGUCUCCUAGUUCCUCUCUCCCUCGUCUCCUAGUACCUCCCUUGUCUCCUAGUUCCUCUCUCCCUCAAAUGGAAACCUGAAACCUGCUUCAAGGAGUGAGAAGCGUCGGCAGUCGUUUUUAAUUCGUACGGAUACGGUCAAAGCAAUGAGGUCACAGAUUGUUUUAUUUGAUAUUGAUAUACUUUGAAUCAACUGUGUGUGAACGGACAUUUACCCAGUGACUUAAAACUGCUGUGUGUGUGUGUGUGUGUGUGUGUUUUUUUAGGUAAAGGGACUUCAUUUAUUUAUUUUGUUUUAAAGCACACCAGUGUACUUUUCGUCCACAAGGUGGCGCAGUGAGACGAUGAGAACAUUGUGUCGUCUCUACUGGACUUUCAGAGCCUUUUAAAAACAAAACUAAGUGAACCCGUAGUUUGGUUGUUGUUGUUGUUGUUGGCGCUGAUGGUCCAAAGCUCCUCCAGAUUUGUUGUUGUCUGGAAACCAAAGGCAAACUGCAAGUCGGGAGCAUUUAGUGUCCAACGUUUAGUUUGUGUGCUGUGGAGUCGAUACGUAUCCAGACAAAGUGAUCCAGUCAACUGAAGUGUUGCAUCGUGUUUUCACAAAGUGCAAACAGGGAGAACUUCAGAGUGCAAUUUUAGAUUUAGACCUUUUUAAAUUCUGUAUAGACUAAACUGAUCUCAGCUGGUUUGUUUUCUUGCUUGGUCCCAUAACUUAGUAUGAUUUCCCAGAAAUUAACUGAAGUGUAACUGUAAACUCUUAUAUUUGUGAAGAUGACUUUCGAUUAAUUAAAUGAAUUUAAUUACUGG